UACGGAGGGUGCGAGCGUUGUCCGGAAUCACUGGGCGUAAAGGGCGCGUAGGUGGCGCGGGCAGUCAACGGUGAAAGUUCGGGGCUCAACCCUGAAUCGGCCGUCGAUACUCCCGGGCUGGAGCACUGUAGAGGCUAAUGGAAUUCCGGGUGUAGCGGUGGAAUGCGUAGAGAUCCGGAAGAACACCGGUGGCGAAGGCGGUUAGCUGGGCAGUUGCUGACACUGAGGCGCGACAGCGUGGGGAGCAAACGGG
rnacentral:rRNA from 1 species